GAUGAACGCUGGCGGCGUGCCUAAUACAUGCAAGUCGAGCGAACAGACGAGGAGCUUGCUCCUUUGACGUUAGCGGCGGACGGGUGAGUAACACGUAGGUAACCUACCUAUAAGACUGGGAUAACUUCGGGAAACCGGAGCUAAUACCGGAUAAUAUUUCGAACCGCAUGGUUCGAUAGUGAAAGAUGGCUUUGCUAUCACUUAUAGAUGGACCUGCGCCGUAUUAGCUAGUUGGUAAGGUAACGGCUUACCAAGGCAACAAUACGUAGCCGACCUGAGAGGGUGAUCGGCCACACUGGAACUGAGACACGGUCCAGACUCCUACGGGAGGCAGCAGUAGGGAAUCUUCCGCAAUGGGCGAAAGCCUGACGGAGCAACGCCGCGUGAGUGAUGAAGGUCUUCGGAUCGUAAAACUCUGUUAUUAGGGAAGAACAAACGUGUAAGUAACUGUGCACGUCUUGACGGUACCUAAUCAGAAAGCCACGGCUAACUACGUG
rnacentral:rRNA from 1 species